AGGAAUUUAGGUUAAUUAAGACCAAGGGCCUUCAAAGCCCUAAGCAAGCAAUCUUUACUUAAUUCCUG
rnacentral:tRNA from 1 species